GAUGAACGCUGGCGGCGUGCCUAAUACAUGCAAGUCGAGCGAAGCGGGGACGGGUGAGUAACACGUGGAUAACCUCCUAUAAGACUGGGAUAACUUCGGGAAACCGGAGCUAAAACGGAUGCUUAUAGAUGGAUCCGCGCUGCAUUAGCUAGUUGGUAAGGUAACGGCUUACCAAGGCAACGAUGCAUAGCCGACCUGAGAGGGUGAUCGGCCACACUGGAGCUAAGACACGGUCCAGAAUCCUACGGGAGGCAGCAGUAGGGAAUCUUCCGCAAUGGGCGAAGGCUAUAAGAAGCCACGCCGCGUGGGUGGUGAAGGUAUGCGGGUCGGAAAACACUGUUAUUAGGGAAGCGGCACAUAAUCAAAAAGCCACGGCUAACUCCGUGCCAGCAGCCGCGGUAAUAC
rnacentral:rRNA from 1 species